rnacentral:rRNA from 1 species
CACGUGUGCACCUGCCUUUAUCUGGGGGGAAUUUCGAGGAGAUUAAUACCCCAUAAUAUGUUGAAUGGCAUCAUUCGACAUUGAAAACUCCGGUGGAUAGAGAUGGGCACGCGCAAGAUUAGAUAGUUGGUGAGGUAACGGCUCACCAAGUCUACGAUCUUUAGGGGGGCCUGAGAGGGUGAUCCCCCACACUGGUACUGAACACGGACCAACUCCUACGGGAGGCAGCAGUGAGAAUAUUGGACAAUGGGUGAGAGCCUGAUCCAGCCAUCCCGCGUGAAGGACGACUGCCCUAUGGGUUGCAAACUUCUUUUGUAUAGGGAUAAACCUACCCUCGUGAGGGUAGCUGAAGGUACUAUACGAAUAAGCACCGGCUAACUCCGUGCCAGCAGCCGCGGUAAUACGGAGGGUGCAAGCGUUAUCCGGAUUUAUUGGGUUUAAAGGGUCCGUGGGCGGAUCUGUAAGUCAGUGGUGAAAUCUCACAGCUUAACUGUGAAACUGCCAUUGAUACUGCAGGUCUUGAGUGUUGUUGAAGUAGCUGGAAUAAGUAGUGUAGCGGUGAAAUGCAUAGAUAUUACUUAGAACACCAAUUGCGAAGGC